rnacentral:rRNA from 1 species
ACCUCUCAUUGUUUUAUGCUUGCAUAAAUGAUUUUUGGAUUCGGAGCGAGUGGCGAACUGGUGAGUAACACGUGGGUAACCUGCCCCGAAGCGGGGGAUAACAUUUGGAAACAAGUGCUAAUACCGCAUAAUUAGUUGGAACCGCAUGGUUCCAACUUGAAAGAUGGCUCUGCUAUCACUUUGGGAUGGACCCGCGCCGUAUUAGUUAGUUGGUGAGAUAAAAGCCCACCAAGACGAUGAUACGUAGCCGACCUGAGAGGGUAAUCGGCCACAUUGGGACUGAGACACGGCCCAGACUCCUACGGGAGGCAGCAGUAGGGAAUCUUCCACAAUGGACGAAAGUCUGAUGGAGCAACGCCGCGUGAGUGAUGAAGGUUUUCGGAUCGUAAAACUCUGUUGUUAAAGAAGAACAAGUGUUAGAGUAACUGUUAACACUUUGACGGUAUUUAACCAGAAAGCCACGGCUAACUACGUGCCAGCAGCCGCGGUAAUACGUAGGUGGCAAGCGUUGUCCGGAUUUAUUGGGCGUAAAGCGAGCGCAGGCGGUUUUGUAAGUCUGCUGUGAAAGCCCUCAGCUCAACUGAGGAAGUGCAGUGGAAACUACAAAACUUGAGUACAGAAGAGGAAAGUGGAACUCCAUGUGUAGCGGUGAAAUGCGUAGAUAUAUGGAAGAACACCAGUGGCGAAGGCGGCUUUCUGGUCUGUUACUGACGCUGAGGCUCGAAAGCAUGGGUAGCGAACAGGAUUAGAUACCCUGGUAGUCCAUGCCGUAAACGAUGAAUACUAGGUGUUGGAGGGUUUCCGCCCUUCAGUGCCGCAGCUAACGCAUUAAGUAUUCCGCCUGGGGAGUACGACCGCAAGGUUGAAACUCAAAGGAAUUGACGGGGGCCCGCACAAGUGGUGGAGCAUGUGGUUUAAUUCGAUGCUACGCGAAGAACCUUACCAGCUCUUGACAUCUUCUGCAACCCAAGAGAUUGGGCGUUCCCUUCGGGGACAGAUGACAGUGGUGCAUGGUUUGUCGUCAGCUCGUGUCGUGAGAUGUUGGGUUAAGUCCGCACGAGCGCACCCUAUAUAGUGCCAGCAUUUAUUGGCCCUCUAGGGAAACUGCCGGGGGAUAAACGGAGGAGGUGGGAC